AUGUUCAGCAACAGAGUCUGUAACAUGUUAAUGUCAGCAGGUGACAAAGGCUUCUUCAUCCUACACCGAGAAACAUCAGGUGUCUUCUUCAUCCUACACCGAGAAACAUCAGGUGUCUUCUUCAUCCUACACCGAGAAACAUCAGGUGUCUUCUUCAUCCUACACCGAGAAACAUCAGGUGUCUUCUUCAUCCUACACCGAGAAACAUCAGGUGUCUUCUUCAUCCUACACAGAAAUAUCAGGUCUCUUCUUCAUCCUACACCGAGAAACAUCAGGUGUCUUCUUCAUCCUACACACAGAAACAUCAGGUGUCUUCUUCAUCCUACACCGAGAAACAUCAGGUCUCUUCUUCAUCCUACACCGAGAAACAUCAGGUGUCUUCUUCAUCCUACACACAGAAACAUCAGGUGUCUUCUUCAUCCUACACCGAGAAACAUCAGGUCUCUUCUUCAUCCUACACAGAGAAAUAUCAGGUGUCUUCUUCAUCCUACACCGAGAAACAUCAGGUGUCUUCUUCAUCCUACACACAGAAACAUCAGGUGUCUUCUUCAUCCUACACCGAGAAACAUCAGGUGUCUUCUUCAUCCUACACACAGAAACAUCAGGUGUCUUCUUCAUCCUACACACAGAAACAUCAGGUGUCUUCUUCAUCCUACACACAGAAACAUCAGGUGUCUUCUUCAUCCUACACACAGAAACAUCAGGUGUCUUCUUCAUCCUACACACAGAAACAUCAGGUGUCUUCUUCAUCCUACACCGAGAAACAUCAGGUCUCUUCUUCAUCCUACACACAGAAAACAUCAGGUGUCUUCUUCAUCCUACACACAGAAACAUCAGGUCUCUUCUUCAUCCUACACACAGAAACAUCAGGUGUCUUCUUCAUCCUACACAGAAAUAUCAGGUCUCUUCUUCAUCCUACACCGAGAAACAUCAGGUGUCUUCUUCAUCCUACACACAGAAACAUCAGGUGUCUUCUUCAUCCUACACCGAGAAACAUCAGGUCUCUUCUUCAUCCUACACACAGAAACAUCAGGUGUCUUCUUCAUCCUACACACAGAAAUAUCAGGUCUCUUCUUCAUCCUACACACAGAAACAUCAGGUCUCUUCUUCAUCCUACACACAGAAACAUCAGGUGUCUUCGUCAUCCUACACACAGAAAUAUCAGGUCUCUUCUUCAUCCUACACCGAGAAACAUCAGGUCUCUUCUUCAUCCUACACCGAGAAACAUCAGGUGUCUUCUUCAUCCUACACCGAGAAACAUCAGGUCUCUUCUUCAUCCUACACACAGAAACAUCAGGUCUCUUCUUCAUCCUACACCGAGAAACAUCAGGUGUCUUCUUCAUCCUACACAGAAACAUCAGGUCUCUUCUUCAUCCUACACAGAAAUAUCAGGUGGCUGCUGAGGUCGUUUUCCAGCCUGUUACUCAAUUUAUGGUGCUACAGGAGACAAGAAUCAGGACCAGAUCAACUUUGAACACAUCUUUACUUUCUGGCACAGGCGGAAACUCAAGUGGUAACCAAACAACCACCGCCUGA
rnacentral:lncRNA from 1 species